CCCUUAGAUGUUCUGGGCCGCACGCGCGCUACACUGACGAAUGCAACGAGCUUAUAACCUUGGCCGAAAGGUCUGGGUAAUCUCCAAAUUUCGUCGUGAUGGGGAUAGAUUAUUGCAAUUAUUAAUCUUCAACGAGGAAUGCCUAGUAAGCGCAAGUCAUCAGCUUGCGUUGAUUACGUCCCUGCCCUUUGUACACACCGCCCGUCGCUCCUACCGAUUGAAUGGUCCGGUGAAAUCUCCGGACUGGCGUGAGUCGGAGCAAUCUGACAAACGCCGGAAAGUUGAUUAAACCUUACCAUUUAGAGGAAGGUGAAGUCGUANCA
rnacentral:rRNA from 1 species